rnacentral:rRNA from 1 species
GUUGAUAAGGUUAAGUGAAUAAGGGCGCACGGUGGAUGCCUUGGCACUAGGAGCCGAUGAAGGACGGGACUAACACCGAUAUGCUUUGGGGAGCUGUAAGUAAGCUAUGAUCCAGAGAUUUCCGAAUGGGGGAACCCAAUAUCUUUUAUAGGAUAUUACUUUUCAGUGAAUACAUAGCUGAUUAGAGGUAGACGCAGAGAACUGAAACAUCUUAGUACCUGCAGGAAGAGAAAGAAAAUUCGAUUCCCUGAGUAGCGGCGAGCGAAACGGGAAGAGCCCAAACCAACAAGCUUGCUUGUUGGGGUUGUAGGACUCCAAUAUGGUAGUCUGUUAGUAUAGUUGAAGGAUUUGGAAAAUUCCGCUAAAGAGGGUGAAAGCCCCGUAGACGAAAUGCUAACAACACCUAGGAGGAUCCUGAGUACGGCGGAACACGAGAAAUUCCGUCGGAAUCCGCGGGGACCAUCCCGCAAGGCUAAAUACUCCCUAGUGACCGAUAGUGAACCAGUACCGUGAGGGAAAGGUGAAAAGCACCCCGGAAGGGGAGUGAAAUAGAUCCUGAAACCGUGUGCCUACAACAAGUCAAAGCUCGUUAAUGAGUGAUGGCGUGCCUUUUGUAGAAUGAACCGGCGAGUUACGAUUGCAUGCGAGGUUAAGUCGAAGAGACGGAGCCGCAGCGAAAGCGAGUCUGAAUAGGGCGAAUGAGUAUGUAGUCGUAGACCCGAAACCAUGUGAUCUACCCAUGUCCAGGUUGAAGGUGCGGUAAAACGCACUGGAGGACCGAACCCACGUACGUUGAAAAGUGCGGGGAUGAGGUGUGGGUAGCGGAGAAAUUCCAAACGAACUUGGAGAUAGCUGGUUCUCUCCGAAAUAGCUUUAGGGCUAGCCUCGGAAUUGAGAAUGAUGGAGGUAGAGCACUGUUUGGACUAGGGGCCCAUCUCGGGUUACCGAAUUCAGAUAAACUCCGAAUGCCAUUCAUUUAUAUCCGGGAGUCAGACUGCGAGUGAUAAGAUCCGUAGUCGAAAGGGAAACAGCCCAGACCACCAGCUAAGGUCCCAAAAUAUAUGUUAAGUGGAAAAGGAUGUGGGGUUGCACAGACAACUAGGAUGUUGGCUUAGAAGCAGCCACCAUUUAAAGAGUGCGUAAUAGCUCACUAGUCGAGUGACCCUGCGCCGAAAAUGUACCGGGGCUAAACAUAUUACCGAAGCUGUGGACUACACCAUUAGGUGUAGUGGUAGGAGAGCGUUCUAAGGGCGUUGAAGGUCGAUCGUGAGGACGGCUGGAGCGCUUAGAAGUGAGAAUGCCGGUAUGAGUAGCGAAAGACAGGUGAGAAUCCUGUCCACCGUAUGACUAAGGUUUCCUGGGGAAGGCUCGUCCGCCCAGGGUUAGUCGGGACCUAAGCCGAGGCCGAUAGGCGUAGGCGAUGGACAACAGGUUGAUAUUCCU